rnacentral:tRNA from 1 species
UGGGGCGUCGCCAAGUGGUAAGGCACCGGUUUCUGGUACCGGUAUCGGGGGUUCGAAUCCCUCCGCCCCAGCCA